rnacentral:rRNA from 1 species
AUUGAACGCUGGCGGCAGGCCUAACACAUGCAAGUCGAACGAGUGGCGGGCGGGUGAGAUAUGGCUGAGAAACCCCCUGAUGGAGGGGGAUAACUACUAGAAACUGUAGCUAACAUCGAAUACCGUCGGGGGUGCCCAGAUGGGAUUAGCUAGUAGGUGGGGUAAAGGCUCACCUAGGCGACGAUCACUAGCUGGUCUGAGAGGAUGACCAGCAACACGGAAACUGAGACACGGUGCAGAACCCUACGGGAGGCAGCAGUGGGGAAUAUUGCACAAUGGGCGCAAGCCUAAAGCAGUCAAGCGGCGUGAAUGAAGAGGGCCUUCGGGUUGUGAAGUACGUUCAGCGGCGGGGCGUUACCCGCAGAAGAAGCACCGGCUAACUCCGUGCCAGCAGCCGCGGUAAUAC